rnacentral:rRNA from 1 species
UACGUAGGGUGCGAGCGUUAAUCGGAAUUACUGGGCGUAAAGCGUGCGCAGGCGGUUCGUUGUGUCGGCGGUGAAAGCCCCGGGCUCAACCCGGGAAGUGCACUCGAUACUGCGUAGCUAGAGUAUCGGAGAGGUUGGUGGAAUUCUCGGUGUAGAGGUGAAAUUCAUAGAUAUCGAGAGGAACACCUGUGGCGAAGGCGGCCAACUGGACGAAUACUGACGCUGAGACACGAAAGCGUGGGGAGCAAACAGG